UGGACCAUAGCUCAGCGGCAAGGUGUCUGUUUUGCAUGCAGAAGGUCCCAGGUUCAGUCCCCGAUGGCAUUUCCAA